rnacentral:rRNA from 1 species
CAAUAGCGUAUAUUAAAGCUGUUGCGGUUAAAAAGCUCGUAGUUGGAUUUCUGUCAAGGACAACUGGUCCGCCCUCCGGGUGAGCACAUAGUUUGGUCUUGGCAUCUUGCUGGAAACUGUUGCUGCGCUUGGUUGUGUGGUGCAGCUUUCAGCACUUUCACUUUGAGGAAAUUGGAGUGUUUCAAGCAGGCACAUGCCUUUGGACACAGUAGCAUGGAAUAAUUAGAUUGGGCUUUUGCUCCAACUUGUUGGUUCCUGGAGCUGAGGUGAGAAUCAAUGGGGAUUGUUGGGGGCAUCCGAAUUUAGCCGUCAGAGGUGAAAUUCUUGGAUCUGCUAAAGACGGACUACUGCGAAAGCAUUUGCCAAGGAUGUUUUCAUUGA